AGAGCAUGUGAGAUACAGGACUACAGGACAGGAAAAAAAGGACUCUGCUAAGGCCAUGAAGCCCAGGAACUUUCUCCACAUUCUCUAAUCUUUACACAGUCCUAAAGGGGCAUCUUGAUGCAGGAGCGGGACCAAGAAUUUGGCUUCAGAAGUUCAGGUUCAUAUGUCAGCUCUGUUUAAGCCCCUCUCUGUGCAAGCUCAGGAAAAUGGCUUCCCUAAUGAAGCCUCAGUUCCUAACCUGGAAAACAGAGGAUUUUUAAAAACAUCCUACUUCACAGGGCUUUUAAGAGAUUGGAUGGAACAGUCAUUGAUGACCUGUCUUUCCCCAGAAAUCUUCAGUUCAGAAAGUUCAGGCAUAUUAAAAGAUGGAGUCAAGACAGAAUGGGGUCUUCUGACUGAAGGGUCUUCCAGGGCCCUGCUUCAGGGUCCCUGUUCCUGAAACGUUAGCCAUACCCUUGGACAGAGCUGGAACUUGGGCACAACCAGGGACUCUCAGUCUAAAAUGAGGUCUCUGGGCACAGAGUUGACAAAUUUUGAAUUGUGGUAAAAUAGUUGAUCAGCGCGGCCCCAUUUUGCCUCCCAAGGGAUAAUAAAAGAAACCAUCACUGCUGACAUCUGCAUGGGAAGGCAAAGAAUGACAUUUCUGCUGCGAAGAAAUGAACCAUCGAAUGCAUUUCAAGACAGUGUGAGGUCAACUGUAAUAGUGGUAAAACCUGAGGCCUCACACUAAGAUGUCAGUGAAGAAGAACAGAUCACCAUGAACACAGAGCUUUAGGUGAUGAGAAUGUUUCUCUCUCUGAGUGAAACUUACUUGGCAGAAAAAUUGCAGAACUCAGGCUCAGUCUUGGCAACUUCAGGGGCCUCCCUAGUUGGGGCUUAGUCUAACUUUCUCUUUUUCUUAUGUUAAAACUAUAUUAUAUACAUAGAACUUUUCAUAGAUCUUUGUGUUUUGUGUGAGAGAUUCUUCUUGAGAAUAUAUCUAUAUAUUUUAA
rnacentral:lncRNA from 10 species